rnacentral:lncRNA from 1 species
CACUUAUUCUUCAAUCAUCAACCAGGAGCGACAGAGGUUUCGGGUGAGAUUUCCUUCACAUUUCUGGAGCUUCUUAUUAAAACUUUGAAAGUGCAAAUCGGCACCAGUCCACAGGAGAGCCCACACAGCUGCAAGGAGUCUCCUCUCUCCCCCAUCCAGAGGGAGCUGGAGCGCUGCUCUGCUGGAGAAGCAGUCCCUGCUGCCAUCCAGAGCAGAGCCCUGGAGGCUUUGGCUCUUUGUCCCUGCUCUGGAAGAAGCAAGGAAGGUGGCUGCCUGGUUUCUGAGCAUCACCACAACCAGGCCUGGAGGAGGAGGAGCCCUGUGCAGCAUCCCUGGAGGAAGAGGAACACUACAGCGUCCUUGGAAGGAGGGGAGCCCUGUGCAGCAUCCCUGGAAGUGACAACCUUUGCCAAAGCUUGCAGCCCACCACAUUGCACACAAGAUCUCACAGCCACCUCUGUGCUUCGCCAAGGCUUUUGCUGCCCAGCAGAAAGAACAAGGCUCUUCUCUCAUCCAAGCUGAGGCUGUUUCCCAGGCUGCUUGCCCUGAACACCUCCACCUCUGCCCUUUGCCAGCGACCCCUCUCCUUGGCCCAUGGAGCCCGUGGAUCUGCAAGCUCAGGGGAAGGAUAAGGAAAGGCUCACGACAGAAUGGCCCUUCGUGGAGCGCUCGAGCUGGAGAAAUAAGGUUAAAGGCUCUUAUCUGAUGGAGCUGCAGCCUUGCCAAAGCCUGUUGCUAUCAGCUCGGGACACAUGUGCUAUUGGCAAAGCUUCGGGGACACAAUAAUACAAACAGUUUUCAUUGUCGAGUCAACAAUGAUGGGAGAAGGAGCCUGGUGCUAUUACCGGUAUAAAAGGCACUGUAGGAAAGCUCAGGACAGGAGGAUGCAGUCGGGAUCAACAGCAGGGUUUAGCAGAUUACAGUUAUAUUUGUAUUCG